rnacentral:rRNA from 1 species
GUGGGGAAUAUUGGACAAUGGGCGAAAGCCUGAUCCAGCCAUGCCGCGUGUGUGAAGAAGGUCUUCGGAUUGUAAAGCACUUUAAGUUGGGAGGAAGGGCAGUAGGUUAAUACCUUGCUGUUUUGACGUUACCGACAGAAUAAGCACCGGCUAACUUCGUGCCAGCAGCCGCGGUAAUACGAAGGGUGCAAGCGUAAAUCGGAAUUACUGGGCGUAAAGCGCGCGUAGGUGGUUUUGUAAGUUGGAGGUGAAAUCCCCGGGCUCAACCUGGGAACUGCCUCCAAAACUGCAUGACUAGAGUACGGUAGAGGGUAGUGGAAUUUCCUGUGUAGCGGUGAAAUGCGUAGAUAUAGGAAGGAACACCAGUGGCGAAGGCGACCACCUGGACUGAUACUGACACUGAGGUGCGAAAGCGUGGGGAGCAAACAGGAUUAGAUACCCUUGUAGUCC